GCGGCUUUCAAAUUGCCCGCAUUUUAUUAGUGAUGUAAGACAAAGAAAUUUUCUGGAUUGACCAGCGGUCAUUUUUUGACUUUGACUGCAGUUCCCGCCAAAAUGGAUUUUGAGGAGAAAAUUAUUUUACAACGAAAUUGACCGAAAAAAUUUAUGAUGACGUCAGUAAACUUUUGUGAUCUGACUGAGCGUAAACAUUAUGGUCAUUUCGCAUCACUACAUUUCAUUGAAAAAAAAGUGAUUCCUUUCGUGGAAAGGUAACGUUGCAGAAUGAAAUGAUCGAGGUCGUCGAACCAAAGUUACCCCCCACUCCAGUAAAACCUUUCCCUACUGAAUCGUUUACUCUCGACUGAAUUCAUUCACUUCAUACAAUUCCACAGAGUAUUUCUAGUCCUCCGUUUUCUCUAAUAAUCAAUAGCUUUAAAAAAAACUACUCUGUGAAAAUUAAAAAUAAAUAGGGCAGAAGCUGAUAAAAAACAGUUUUAUUAAAAGGGUCAACGCUCAGAGAACGGAUAUGGCAUAGCUCAUUCACCAGCGUAUCACAACUUCAAUGUAGAGAGGGAGAGAUUCAUUGAUUUAGGGUUCACGGGAGGAAUUGAUGGGCAUAAGGGGAAUACGAGGGAUUCGUAAUAAACUCGCGGGUGUUGUGUGAAGUAAAAAGGGUGGAAGGAGAAGAAGGAGGCGAGUGAUAAACGACUGAGCAAAAAGUUUUCAUAGGAGGAGAAGGCAUUAAUGGAGUAGGGGAAUUUCGUGAUUGCAACGGUAGGGAAUAAGUUAAGUGGGACCACCGGAAACGCCAGUUAGCUGAGUGAGCCGCAUCCGCUUAAAUCUACACUUCACAACUAAUGUAAUCAAACUGUCACCUAUUCUACAACUUUUCCAACUAUGCUUAUAAUGGGAUAACGAUGGGACCUAUUUUUUAAAUUUCAUAUUCCAGUUUUUUUUUUAAAGAAAAAUGUCCAAAAAAAUAUCAUGCUCAG